GAUGAACGCUGGCGGCGUGCCUAAUACAUGCAAGUCGAGCGAACAGAUGAGAAGCUUGCUUCUCUGAUGUUAGCGGCGGACGGGUGAGUAACACGUGGGUAACCUACCUAUAAGACUGGGAUAACUCCGGGAAACCGGGGCUACUACCGGAUAAUCUUUUGAACCGCAAGGUUCGAUAGUAAAAGACGGGUUCGGCUGUCACUUCUAGUUGGACCCGCGCCGUAUUAGCUAGUUGGUAAGGUAACGGCUUACCAAGGCGACGAUACGUAGCCGACCUGAGAGGGUGAUCGGCCACACUGGAACGGAGACACGGUCCAGACUCCUACGGGAGGCAGCAGUAGGGAAUCUUCCGCAAUGGGCGAAAGCCUGACGGAGCAACGCCGCGUGAGUGAUGAAGGUCUUCGGAUCGUAAAACUCUGUUGUUGGGGAAGAACAAAUUUGUUAGUAACUGAACAAGUCUUGACGGUACCUAACCAGAAAGCCACGGCUAACUACGUGCCAGCAGCCGCAGUAA
rnacentral:rRNA from 1 species